GGGCUCGGCCCGCCCCUUUCGCGGGGCGCUGUGGGAAGGGCGGGGGCGGGGCCCGGGGGUCGAAGAGCCCCAGCCGGGGCUCGGGCAGCUCUCGCUGCCCCCGGGCUCCUCUGGCGCCGGGGCUCCCGUGUUCCCUCGGGCGGUCGCAGCUCUGGGGCUGUCUCAGCCCCCCGGGCAGGCGUGCUCUGGCGUUUAGAGAAGCGGAGGCGUUGCCUGAGGGCAACUUCUGUUCCCGAGGUGGUGCCUACAGUACAGCUAUCUCUUCGAAGGCAGUUUGGUUUAGGUCAGAGAAUGUUUAGCCUGGACUGAAUCAGCCUCUGUUUCUAUUUCUGGAAAUCGUCGGUCCUGUGCAUCAAGCCCGGAAAAAAGGAAAUAUGAACCAAAGGACCUGGGGCCUGCAGGGCUAGGAAAAUAUUUGAGAAGAGGUUCAGUGGGGAAAUGACUGUUUGUCUGUGGGGCGUCCAGGCAAGCAACCCAGCUGCUAGAAAGCGGCGCUGUCCCCAGGAUGGCCUCGGCGGUCCCGUCGGAGUCGGGGGAACAAGGACAAGGCAGGGUGAAGCAUCUGGCCUGCCGUGUGGACCGUGACUGUACAAAGCACGUGUGAUGCACUGCAAGUUUACCUGUUUAAACUGUGAGUUAAAGAAGGUGUGCAGUUGCUUUGUAAACAGCCGACGCUCUAAAGCUACACCCAUCUAAUUGCUAGCUGUAUUAAAUCUAUCGUAUUGCUGUUUCUGCAUUAAAAAAGAAAAAACCAACACACCUAUGUAAGCACGUCUAAGUACAAUGGAAAACCACUGUUUAA